rnacentral:rRNA from 1 species
ACAAGCGUGGAUGAUGUGGUUAAUUCGACGCAACGCGAAGAACCUUACCAGGGCUUGACAUCCCCUGACCGCGUAUGAAAGUACGAAUUCACCUUCGGGUGACAGGGAGACAGGUGGUGCAUGGUUGCGUCAGCUCGUGUCGUGAGAUGUUGGGUUAAGUCCCGCAACGAGCGCAACCCCUACGUUUAGUUGCUAACGCGUGAAGGCGAGCACUCUAGACGAACUGCCGUUGACAAAACGGAGGAAGUGGGGAUGACGUCAAAUCAUCAUGCCCCUUAUGUUCUGGGCUACACACGUGCUACAAUGGCCGGUACAGACGGACGCAAAGCCGCGAGGUGGAGCAAAUCCUAAAAAGCCGGUCUCAGUUCGGAUUGCAGGCUGCAAUUCGCCUGCAUGAAGUCGGAAUCGCUAGUAAUCGCAGGUCAGCAUACUGCGGUGAAUACGUUCCCGGGCCUU